GGAAUAUUGGACAAUGGGCGAAAGCCUGAUCCAGCCAUGCCGCGUGUGUGAAGAAGGUCUUCGGAUUGUAAAGCACUUUAAGUUGGGAGGAAGGGCAGUAACCUAAUACGUUGCUGUCUUGACGUUACCGACAGAAUAAGCACCGGCUAACUCUGUGCCAGCAGCCGCGGUAAUACAGAGGGUGCAAGCGUUAAUCGGAAUUACUGGGCGUAAAGCGCGCGUAGGUGGUUUGUUAAGUUGGAUGUGAAAUCCCCGGGCUCAACCUGGGAACUGCAUUCAAAACUGACAAGCUAGAGUAUGGUAGAGGGUGGUGGAAUUUCCUGUGUAGCGGUGAAAUGCGUAGAUAUAGGAAGGAACACCAGUGGCGAAGGCGACCACCUGGACUGAUACUGACACUGAGGUGCGAAAGCGUGGGGAGCAAACAGGAUUAGAUACCCCAG
rnacentral:rRNA from 1 species